rnacentral:misc_RNA from 1 species
GAAAUGCGAUAAGUAAUGUGAAUUGCAGAAUUCCGUGAAUCAUCGAAUCUUUGAACGCACAUUGCGCCCUCUGGCAUUCCGGGGGGCAUGCCUGUCCGAGCGUCAUUACGCACCCUCAAGCCCGGCUUGUGUGAUGGGCCCCGGCGUCUCGUUCGCGAGACGGGCCCGAAAGGCAGCGGCGGCGUCGACCCGAUGAGCCCUAGCGUAUGGGGACUUCUGUCACACGUUCGCGGUGCGGACCGGCGCCUGCUUGACUUUUCUGAUUAUCCAGGUUGACCUCGGAUCAGGUAGGGAUACCCGCUGAACUUAAGC